UUUGAAUCACAGAAGGGAUUGAGAAAAAUAUUGGCCCAGACUGCAAGAUUGUGGCAGCAGUUCCUCACAUAUCUCUGUAGAAGGGAUUUCCAUGCAGAUGCAGAAGACCAGACGUUUGUCCACUGCUGUCUAACCAAGGCACUUCAGACCAAGAUUGUUCGAUGAAGACCAGUUGUCGCAACUCAAGGCACUCCUAAGAUGGCUAUGACUAACCCAAAAACAAGAGGCAGGACCCUGACUUCCAAGUCUGAAGGAUAUAAGAGGGAGUGGCAUUUCAGAAUCAGAAUCAGGAUGAACAUCACUGGCAUAUGUU